CCCCCGUGCCGUGCGCCGUCUUCCUGCACUGCUGGCUCCUGACAUUUUUCACGUGGUGCUGCAUGAGGAUCGUCAUAAGUCUCUCCAUUAAGGUUAUGUAGGCAUCCAUCUGGCAGAGCAGGUCAAGAGCAUUUAGGUUGUCCGUUUCCUCUGUUCCUAAGGAAGCUGGGUCCGCUUGUCCCGUUCUCUGAAAGUGAGAGAGCAUGGGCACAGUGAAAGGGAGGCAGGCUUGUUUUGCAGAGUAUCACCCUGCAGGGCUCCGACUGGUGUGGAGCAUUUCCAGCCUCGCAGGACUGCUCAGGGCAGCCCGUGGGGCUCACACUGCCUGUGGCACACCCUGUGUUGCUCAGGGGCCUCCCACUGUGUGACAGCCCUGUGGCUGGGCAAGUGCCUGGGGAGAGGUAACGGAUCUCUGGGGUCUGAUUUCCUUGGAUGUGUUCAAGUAUAUGGCCUUUAUGGUUCCCUGCUCCCCAGCCACGGUACCCUCCCUGCCCGAUGUAUCUUGAUUGCUCACCUGUCCCCGAGGUCUUCUUAAUCUUCUCCAGUGGGCACGGGCAGUUGUCAGCAGCCAGAGAAUGGAGAAAAUUGUCAAGGGAGCUGUAAGGAGCCAGGUUCUCCCUCUUUGCAUAAGGUAGUCCCAAAGGUGGCCCAGGAUGCCAGGCAAGCUGUAGGCCUUCUGCUUGGUGCCUGGGGACUGCUGCUUUG
ensembl:lncRNA